AAAUACAAACAAAAACAUCAGCAUAUAA
rnacentral:sRNA from 1 species